UUGGGCUUGGUGCCUAGCUAGGUCACGUUUACUAAUGACUAUUUGCACCUAGCAGUGAUGCCAUCAUUGUCCCGAGGCACGUUCUGGCAAGGUAAGCAAUUCACUACCCUGCGGACCCUACUUUCUUUUUUUCUCUUCUUUACUGGUCAGGCUGCUAAGUAAAAUUGUGUGACUAGGCUAGGUGCUUGUCUAGAUCACACAUACUAAUGAGUAAUCUAAUGCACAGGCGAGAGGCUCUGCUUGUAGCACAGACGCUACCAUAGUCCCGAGGCUCUGUCUGGCAAGACCAGAAGCUCUGCACCUAGCAGAUGCCGCCAUAGUCCCGAGGCACCGUCUGGCAAGGUACUUCGGGCAAAUCAAGCCAUCUGAAGUGCGAUACAAAAGUGCAACCAGUGG